rnacentral:rRNA from 1 species
GAUGAACGCUGGCGGCGUGCCUAAUACAUGCAAGUCGAGCGAACAGAUGAGGAGCUUGCUCCUCUGACGUUAGCGGCGGACGGGUGAGUAACACGUGGAUAACCUACCUAUAAGACUUGGAUAACUUCGUGAAACCGGAGCUAAUACCGGAUAAUAUAUUGAACCGCAUGGUUCAAUAGUGAAAGACGGUUUUGCUGUCACUUAUAGAUGGAUCCGCGCCGCAUUAGCUAGUUGGUAAGGUAACGGCUUACCAAGGCAACGAUGCGUAGCCGACCUGAGAGGGUGAUCGGCCACACUGGAACUGAGACACGGUCCAGACUCCUACGGGAGGCAGCAGUAGGGAAUCUUCCGCAAUGGGCGAAAGCCUGACGGAGCAACGCCGCGUGAGUGAUGAAGGUCUUCGGAUCGUAAAACUCUGUUAUUAGGGAAGAACAAAUGUGUAAGUAACUAUGCACGUCUUGACGGUACCUAAUCAGAAAGCCACGGCUAACUACGUG